UACAGAGGUCUCAAGCGUUGUUCGGAUUCAUUGGGCGUAAAGGGUGCGUAGGUGGCGCCGUAAGUCGGGGUGUGAAAUUUCGGAGCUUAACUCCGAAACUGCAUUCGAUACUGCGGUGCUUGAGGACUGGAGAGGAGACUGGAAUUCAUGGUGUAGCAGUGAAAUGCGUAGAGAUCAUGAGGAAGACCAGUGGCGAAGGCGGGUCCCUGGACAGUUCCUGACACUGAGGCACGAAGGCCAGGGGAGCAAACGGG
rnacentral:rRNA from 1 species